GAUGAACGCUGGCGGCGUGCCUAAUACAUGCAAGUCGAGCGAACAGACGAGGAGCUUGCUCCUUCGACGUUAGCGGCGGACGGGUGAGUAACACGUAGGUAACCUACCUAUAAGACUGGGAUAACUUCGGGAAACCGGAGCUAAUACCGGAUAAUAUUUCGAACCGCAUGGUUCGAUAGUGAAAGAUGGCUUUGCUAUCACUUAUAGAUGGACCUGCGCCGUAUUAGCUAGUUGGUAAGGUAACGGCUUACCAAGGCAACGAUACGUAGCCGACCUGAGAGGGUGAUCGGCCACACUGGAACUGAGACACGGUCCAGACUCCUACGGGAGGCAGCAGUAGGGAAUCUUCGGCAAUGGGCGAAAGCCUGACGGAGCAACGCCGCGUGUGUGAUGAAGGUCUUCGGAUCGUAAAGCUCUGUUAUUAGGGAAGAACAGACGUGUAAGUAACUGUGCACGUCUUGACGGUACCUAAUCAGAAAGCCACGGCUAACUACGUG
rnacentral:rRNA from 1 species